UAGAGUUUGAUCCUGGCUCAGGAUGAACGCUGGCGGUCUGCUUAACACAUGCAAGUCGAACGGAAGUAGCAAUACUUUAGUGGCGGACGGGUGAGUAACACGUAAGAAUCUGCCCCUAGGACGGGAAAAACAGUUGGAAACGACUGCUAAUUCCAGAUGAGCCGAAAGGUAAAAAGAGUAUCGCCUAGGGAUGAGCUUGCGGCUGAUUAGCUAGUUGGUGUGGUAAGAGCGCACCAAGGCGACGAUCAGUAGCUGGUCUGAGAGGAUGAGCAGCCACACUGGGACUGAGACACGGCCCAGACUCCUACGGGAGGCAGCAGUGGGGAAUUUUCCGCAAUGGGCGAAAGCCUGACGGAGCAAGACCGCGUGGGGGAGGAAGGUUCUUGGAUUGUCAACCCCUUUUCUCAGGGAAGAAGUUCUGACGGUACCUGAGGAAUAAGCAUCGGCUAACUCCGUGCCAGCAGCCGCGGUAAUACGGAGGAUGCAAGCGUUAUCCGGAAUGAUUGGGCGUAAAGAGUCCGUAGGUGGCUGAUCAAGUCUAUUGUUAAAGAGCGAGGCUUAACUUCGUAAAGGCCGUAGAAACUGAUCAGCUUGAGAGCAGUAGGGGCAGAAGGAAUUCCUGGUGUAGCGGUGAAAUGCGUAGAGAUCAGGAAGAACACCGGUGGCGAAAGCGUUCUGCUGGGCUGCGACUGACACUGAGGGACGAAAGCUAGGGGAGCGAAUGGGAUUAGAUACCCCAGUAGUCCUAGCCGUAAACGAUGGAUACUAGGUGUUGUGAGUAUCGACCCUCACAGUGCCGAAGCCAACGCAUUAAGUAUCCCGCCUGGGGAGUACGCACGCAAGUGUGAAACUCAAAGGAAUUGACGGGGGCCCGCACAAGCGGUGGAGUAUGUGGUUUAAUUCGAUGCAACGCGAAGAACCUUACCAGGGUUUGACAUGUCGGGAAUCUCUUGGAAACGAGAGAGUGCCUUCGGGAGCCCGAACACAGGUGCUGCAUGGCUGUCGUCAGCUCGUGUCGUGAGAUGUUGGGUUAAGUCCCGCAACGAGCGCAACCCUCGUCGUUAGUUGCCAGCAAGAAAGAUGGGAACUCUAGCGAGACUGCCGGUGACAAACCGGAGGAAGGUGGGGAUGACGUCAAGUCAGCAUGGCCCUUACAUCCUGGGCGACACACGUACUACAAUGCUAGGGACAAAGAGCAGCGACUUCGCGAGGAGAAGCGAAUCUCAGAAACCCUGGCUCAGUUCAGAUUGCUCUCUGCAACUCGAGAGCAUGAAGGAGGAAUCGCUAGUAAUCGCAGGUCAGCAUACUGCGGUGAAUCCGUUCCCGGGCCUUGUACACACCGCCCGUCACACCAUGGAAGUUUGCCACGCCCGAAGUCAUUACUCUAACCAUUCGUGGGGGAGGGUGCCGAAGGCAGGGCUGAUGACUGGGGUGAAGUCGUAACAAGGUAGCCGUACCGGAAGGUGUGGCUGGAUCACCUCCUUUUUAGGGAGACCUACUUCAAGUGUUGGUGUCAGUCCCAACAAAAUUAGCACCCCUUGAAGUCAUCCCAAGGUCGUUCUAGGAAAAAAGUGAAACGACUUUCAAACGUAGCUGGUUCGGAUCAGGGCUAUUAGCUCAGGUGGUUAGAGCGCACCCCUGAUAAGGGUGAGGUCCCUGGUUCAAGUCCAGGAUAGCCCACUAAAAGCCGAAAGCCUUUUCGCCUUCAGGAUGAAACCGUAAAGGAACCAACUGAAAGCCCGAAGUGCUGUGGCUUGUUGGGGGUAUAGCUCAGUUGGUAGAGCGCUGCCUUUGCAAGGCAGAUGUCAGCGGUUCGAGUCCGCUUACCUCCACUGAUGGAAAGCUCAAGCCAGAGCCAGUCAAGAACAAUUCAGCACCGUCGCCUUGUGCGAGAAUGCUGGAAACUGUUCCAGCCAGAACCUUGAAAACUGCAUAGAAAAAACAUCAAAAGGGAUCAAUCUUAAAUUUGAGAUCCAGAACAUGGUGAAAAGCCAAAGAUUCUAGGGACCAGGUGUCUGUAGAAAGCAGACAAAGAAAGAUAUUCUCAACAAAUGUGGUCAAGCUACAAAGGGCUGACGGUGGAAACCUAGGCACACAGAGGCGAAGA
rnacentral:rRNA from 1 species